rnacentral:rRNA from 1 species
UACGGAGGGGGCUAGCGUUGUUCGGAAUUACUGGGCGUAAAGCGCACGUAGGCGGAUAUUUAAGUCAGGGGUGAAAUCCCGGAGCUCAACUCCGGAACUGCCUUUGAUACUGGGUAUCUCGAGUAUGGAAGAGGUGAGUGGAAUUCCGAGUGUAGAGGUGAAAUUCGUAGAUAUUCGGAGGAACACCAGUGGCGAAGGCGGCUCACUGGUCCAUUACCGACGCUGAGGCGCGAAAGCGUGGGGAGCAAACAGG